GGACGGGUGGCAGAGUGGUUGAAUGCACCGGUCUUGAAAACCGGCAGGGGUGUGCAGCCCCUCGUGGGUUCGAAUCCCACCCCGUCCGCCA
rnacentral:tRNA from 1 species